GUUGAACGCUGGCGGCAGGCCUAACACAUGCAAGUCGAACGAGUGGCGGACGGGUGAGUAAUGUCUGGGAAACUGCCAGAUGGAGGGGGCUAACUACUGGAAACGGUAGCUAAUACCGCAAACGAUCGGAUGUGCACAGCUGGGAUUAGCGAGUCGGUGGGGUAACGGCUCACCUAGGCGACGAUGCCUAGCUGGUCUGAGAGGAUGACCAGCAACACUGGGACUGAGACACGGUCCAGACUCCGACGGGAGUCAGCAGUGGGGAAUAUUGCACAAUGGGCGCAAGCCUGAUGCAGCCAUGCCGCGUGGAGGAAGAAGGCAUUCGGGUUGUAAAGUACUGUCGGCGGGGAGGCGUUACUCGCAGAAGAAGCCCCGGCUAACUCCGUGCCAGCCGCCGCGGUAAUUC
rnacentral:rRNA from 1 species